rnacentral:rRNA from 1 species
GACGAACGCUGGCGGCGUGCCUAAUACAUGCAAGUAGAACGCUGAAGGAGGAGCUUGCUUCUCUGGAUGAGUUGCGAACGGGUGAGUAACGCGUAGGUAACCUGCCUGGUAGCGGGGGAUAACUAUUGGAAACGAUAGCUAAUACCGCAUAAGAGUAGAUGUUGCAUGACAUUUGCUUAAAAGGUGCAAUUGCAUCACUACCAGAUGGACCUGCGUUGUAUUAGCUAGUUGGUGGGGUAACGGCUCACCAAGGCGACGAUACAUAGCCGACCUGAGAGGGUGAUCGGCCACACUGGGACUGAGACACGGCCCAGACGCCUACGGGAAGCAGCAGGAGGGAAUCUUCGGCAAGGGACGGAAGGCUGAACGAGCAACGCCGCGUGAGGGAAGAAGGGUAUCGGAACGGAAAGAUCGGUUGUAAGAGAAGAAAGAGUGUGAGAGUGGAAAGUUCACACUGUGACGGUAUCUAACCAGAAAGGGACGGCUAACUAAGUG